rnacentral:rRNA from 1 species
AUGGUAGUGGAGAUAAUUUCUGUUGGCAAACUACUUACGCGAACUCUCUGUUGCGACUCUGCAAAUGCUGGCGAUGCGAAAGUGAAAAAAGUUAUUGAGUUUGAACCCAUGGACCUGUCCAUUCAACCAUGGAAAUACACAAUAUUCUGCAUGUUGCUGAGACCGAACAGCAGUUUUUUGUUCUUCGGUUUGUAUGAAAUUUUUGGUGUUUUUUCUGCCGUAGUUUGCCGACUUUGGUCAAUGGUCAAGUGCCGAUGCUGCAUUUUUCUUGAAUGGAUGUUGCUGCAGGGCGCACAUUUGCUGUUUAUGCAGAAUGGAUUUGGAAAUAGUUUUGAUUUUGAACAAGGAUUCACCUAA